CUUUGAUUGAUGAUUGAUUGAUUGUUUAUUUGAUUGAUUAAUUAAUAUUAGGCUUGAGUCAGGCCCCUGUAUUGUUGGCGAUGAACAUUCAAACCCUGAACUUAUGCAGUACCUCGGCGCAGUGAAGAAACAGGAAACUGGACAACAAUUUCCGGUUUGGGAGACUUCCCUUCUUCCCAGGGAGGUUCUAGAUAAGCUUGAGCACAAGG